rnacentral:rRNA from 1 species
UNUGAAGUUAAAGGCUGUGGCUUAACCAUAGUACGCUUUGGAAACUGUUUAACUUGAGUGCAGAAGGGGAGAGUGGAAUNCCAUGUGUAGCGGUGAAAUGCGUAGAUAUAUGGAGGAACACCGGUGGCGAAAGCGGCUCUNUGGUCUGUAACUGACGCUGAGGCUCGAAAGCGUGGGGAGCGAACAGGAUUAGAUACCCUGGUAGUNCACGCCGUAAACGAUGAGUGCUAGGUGUUAGGCCCUUUCCGGGGCUUAGUGCCGCAGCUAACGCAUUAAGCACUCCGCCUGGGGAGUACGACCGCAAGGUUGAAACUCAAAGGAAUUGACGGGGGCCCGCACAAGCGGUGGAGCAUGUGGUUUAAUUCGAAGCAACGCGAAGAACCUUACCAGGUCUUGACAUCCCGAUGCCCGCUCUAGAGAUAGAGUUUUACUUCGGUACAUCGGUGACAGGUGGUGCAUGGUUGUCGUCAGCUCGUGUCGUGAGAUGUUGGGUUAAGUCCCGCAACGAGCGCAACCCUUAUUGUUAGUUGCCAUCAUUCAGUUGGGCACUCUAGCGAGACUGCCGGUAAUAAACCGGAGGAAGGUGGGGAUGACGUCAAAUCAUCAUGUCCCUUAUGACCUGGGCUACACACGUGCUACAAUGGCUGGUACAACGAGUCGCAAGUCGGUGACGGCAAGCUAAUCUCUUAAAGCCAGUCUCAGUUCGGAUUGUAGGCUGCAACUCGCCUACAUGAAGUCGGAAUCGCUAGUAAUCGCGGAUCAGCACGCCGCGGUGAAUACGUUCCCGGGCCUUGUACACACCGCCCGUCACACCACGAGAGUUUGUAACACCCGAAGUCGGUGAGGUANCCUUUUAGGA